rnacentral:misc_RNA from 1 species
UCCGGUUUGUCACCGGCAGUCCCAUUAGAGUGCUCAACUUAAUGUGGCAACUAAUGGCAAGGGUUGCGCUCGUUGCGGGACUUAACCCAACAUCUCACGACACGAGCUGACGACAACCAUGCAGCACCUCCGCUGGCUUCCUUGCGGAUCAGUCGAUGUUUCCAAAGACUUACUACCAGUAGUUCAAGCCCAGGUAAGGUUCUUCGCGUUGCGUCGAAUUAAACCACAUGCUCCACCGCUUGUGCGGGCCCCCGUCAAUUCCUUUGAGUUUCAACCUUGCGGUCGUACUCCCCAGGCGGGACACUUAAUGCGUUAGCUGCGGCACUGGAGGGGUCGAUGCCUCCAACACCUAGUGUCCACCGUUUACGGCCAGGACUAC